rnacentral:RNase_P_RNA from 1 species
GAAGCAGGCCAGACCGCCGCUGGCGCGGGCGUGGAAACACGGCGCUGGAGGAAGGUCCGGACUGCACAGGGCGACGCAGCAGCUAACGGCUGUCCACCGCGAGGUGAGGAUCAGAGCAACAGAGACGAGUUCAUGCGGGGCCAAGGCCACGCAUGAGGUGAAACGGGCAAUCUCUGCGUGCAGCAAUACCAAGUAGGCCGGCGUGGAUGCGGCCCGCGGAGCCGGCGGGUAGGUAGCACCGAGCCGGGGGGUGACUCCCGGCCCAGAGGAAUGGCGGUCACGGCGGGGUUUCGCAAGAAGCACCGCUGCACAGAAUCCGGCCUAUCGGCCUGCUUCACAC